rnacentral:lncRNA from 10 species
UGCAGAGCUGUCUUUCUCUAACUGAUCUGAGAAAUGAUGGAGGGCAAGUAUCUAAAAAACGAUGAGACUUGGUGCUGAAAACCAGACUUCAGCCUCCAGGAGAACUGGCAGAAGCAAGCUGGUCAGCGAGAAACAGGACCAACAAGAAGACAGAGACAUGCACAGGGAGAACAUCAUGUGACAACAAAGGCAAAGACUGGAAGUUAUGCAGCUGCAAGCCAAGGAACACCAAAAAUUGCUGGCAAACUGCCAGAAGCUAGGAGGAUGCAAGGUUAGAAUUCCCCAAGUCUCAGAGGGAGCGUGGACCUGCCCACACCUUGAUUUUGGACAUGUAACUUCCGGAAAUGUUAGACAAUAAAAUGCAGUUGUUUUAAAC